rnacentral:rRNA from 1 species
UGAGGAAUAUUGGUCAAUGGACGAGAGUCUGAACCAGCCAAGUAGCGUGAAGGAUGACUGCCCUAUGGGUUGUAAACUUCUUUUAUACGGGAAUAAAGUUAGCCACGUGUGGCUUUUUGUAUGUACCGUAUGAAUAAGGAUCGGCUAACUCCGUGCCAGCAGCCGCGGUAAUACGUAGGGAGCAAGCGUUAUCCGGAUUUACUGGGUGUAAAGGGUGCGUAGGCGGCUUGGUAAGUCAGAUGUGAAAUGUAUGGGCUCAACCCAUGCACUGCAUUUGAAACUAUUGAGCUUGAGUGAAGUAGAGGUAGGCGGAAUUCCCUGUGUAGCGGUGAAAUGCGUAGAGAUAGGGAGGAACACCAGUGGCGAAGGCGGCCUACUGGGCUUUAACUGACGCUGAGGCACGAAAGCGUGGGUAGCAAACAGGAUUAGAUACCCUGGUAGUCCACGCUGUAAACGAUGAUUACUAGGUGUGGGGGGUCUGACCCCUUCCGUGCCGGAGUUAACACAAUAAGUAAUCCACCUGGGGAGUACGACCGCAAGGUUGAAACUCAAAGGAAUUGACGGGGGCCCGCACAAGCAGUGGAGUAUGUGGUUUAAUUCGACGCAACGCGAAGAACCUUACCAAGUCUUGACAUCCCUUGACGAUGCUGGAAACAGUAUUUCUCUUCGGAGCAAGGAGACAGGUGGUGCAUGGUUGUCGUCAGCUCGUGUCGUGAGAUGUUGGGUUAAGUCCCGCAACGAGCGCAACCCUUGUCCUUAGUAGCCAGCAGUAAGAUGGGCACUCUAGGGAGACUGCCGGGGAUAACUCGGAGGAAGGUGGGGACGACGUCAAAUCAUCAUGCCCCUUAUGACUUGGGCUACACACGUGCUACAAUGGCGUAAACAAAGGGAAGCGAACCUGUGAAGGCAAGCAAAUCCCAAAAAUAACGUCUCAGUUCGGAUUGUAGUCUGCAACUCGACUACAUGAAGCUGGAAUCGCUAGUAAUCGCAGAUCAGAAUGCUGCGGUGAAUACGUUCCC